AACCUUGUUUGCAAGUCAUGGGUCUCGCGGCUGUUUGAAAUCCGUGCAGCCGGACAGCCACAUGCCUCCGCGUCUUAAUGACAGCGUCCGUAACUAAACUGAAAUUACAUUUAGUCUUUUACCUUGUUGAUUUUUGUUUUGUCCUCCUGCGGACCAAGAGAAGCUGGGCUCCGGCACCCAUGCAGUCGCUCAGAAGACGGAAGACGGAAACGCGCACAAGCGCGCGCAACAAAAGUUUAAUAACUUCUAACAACUGAUUUGCAUUUUCAAAAGCUGACCCAGAAUAUGUGAUGUGACACAAAAUAAACAGAUAAACAGA